ACGGAGGAUGCAAGCGUUAUCCGGAUUCAUUGGGUUUAAAGGGUGCGCAGGCGGAAUGAUAAGUCAGUGGUGAAAUCCUACGGCUCAACUGUAGAACUGCCAUUGAUACUGUCGUUCUUGAGUACACUCGGAGUGGGCGGAAUGUGUCAUGUAGCGGUGAAAUGCUUAAAUAUGAGGCAGAACACCUGUGGCGAAGGCAGCUAACUGGAUUGUAACUGACGCUGAGGCACGAAAGCUAGGGGAUCAAACAG
rnacentral:rRNA from 1 species